rnacentral:rRNA from 1 species
GACGAACGCUGGCGGCGUGCCUAAUACAUGCAAGUUGAGCGCUGAAGGUUGGUACUUGUACCAACUGGAUGAGCAGCGAACGGGUGAGUAACGCGUGGGGAAUCUGCCUUUGAGCGGGGGACAACAUUUGGAAACGAAUGCUAAUACCGCAUAAAAACUUUAAACACAAGUUUUAAGUUUGAAAGAUGCAAUUGCAUCACUCAAAGAUGAUCCCGCGUUGUAUUAGCUAGUUGGUGAGGUAAAGGCUCACCAAGGCGAUGAUACAUAGCCGACCUGAGAGGGUGAUCGGCCACAUUGGGACUGAGACACAGCCCAAGAUCCUACGGGAGGCAGCAGUAGGGAAUCUUCGGCAAUGGACGAAAGUCUGACCGAGCAACGCCGCGUGAGUGAAGAAGGUUUUCGGAUCGUAAAACUCUGUUGGUAGAGAAGAACGCUGGUGAAAGUAGAAAGCUCAUCAAGUGACGGUAACUACCCAGAAAGGGACGGCUAACUACGUG